rnacentral:rRNA from 1 species
UACGGAGGAUGCGAGCGUUAUCCGGAUUUAGUGGGUUUAAAGGGUGCGCAGGCGGCACGGCAAGCCGGCGGUCAAAUCGCGGGGCUCAACCCCGCCCAGCCGUCGGAACUGCCGGGCUAGAGUGGGCGAGAAGUGCGCGGAAUGCGUGGUGUAGCGGUGAAAUGCAUAGAUAUCACGCAGAACUCCGAUUGCGAAGGCAGCGCACCGGCGCCCUACUGACGCUCAGGCACGAAAGCGUGGGUAUCGAACAGG